rnacentral:rRNA from 1 species
GACCAGACUCCUACGGGAGGCAGCAGUCGGGAAUAUUGCGCAAUGGAGGAAACUCUGACGCAGUGACGCCGCGUAUAGGAAGAAGGUUUUCGGAUUGUAAACUAUUGUCGUGAGGGAAGAAAUUGACAGUACCUCAGGAGGAAGCUCCGGCUAACUAUGUGCCAGCAGCCGCGGUAAUACGUAGGGGGCAAGCGUUAUCCGGAUUUACUGGGUGUAAAGGGAGCGUAGACGGCUGUGCAAGUCUGAAGUGAAAGCCCAGGGCUCAACCCUGGGACUGCUUUGGAAACUGUGGAGCUAGAGUGCUGGAGAGGUAAGUGGAAUUCCUAGUGUAGCGGUGAAAUGCGUAGAUAUUAGGAGGAACACCAGUGGCGAAGGCGGCUUACUGGACAGUAACUGACGUUGAGGCUCGAAAGCGUGGGGAGCAAACAGGAUUAGAUACCCUCGUAUC